GCCGCGCUGCGCACGGAUGGCGGCGGGAGCCGCAGAGUUUCCUUGUUUCUAGAAGGAGAAAGUUGGAACAUGAAUUCAACAAAUAUUUACUAGGUACCUGCUAGAAGCCAGGCCCUGUCCUAGGCACUGAAGAUUCAGCAACGAAUAAGACAGCCAAGGCCUCUGCCCUCAUAGAUCUUGCAUCAAGCUGGGGAGACAGACAGUAAAUAAAAAUGGGAUUAUGCUAAGUAUCCUAUACUGCUGUACCACUGAUGCCAGGCCAGCAGCCUGGCAUCACAUGGAGUUGGUUGAAAAGAAGAAUCUCAGGGCCAGGUGCAGUGGCCCACACCUGUAAUCCCAGCACUUUGGGAGGCCAAGGCGGGUGGAUCACUUGAGGCCAGGAGUUCGAGACCAGCCUGUCCAACAUGGCGAAACGCCAUCUCUACUAAAUAUACAAAAAUUAGCUGGGCAUGGUAGCCCGCACCUGUAAUCCCAGGUAUGGAUCAGUGGCUACUAUGUGCCAGAUCUCAGCAAGACAGAGGAGGAUGAAGAGGUUAAUAAGACGCAGGGAUCAUCCUGCUGGAAUGGAAGUCACAGGGGAGGGGCUAAGGGGACCAGGUACAUGGGACAAGGGCACCUGGCACAGCCUGGGGCAGAGUCGCCGCUGAGGAAACAGCUGGGUCAGGCUGGGUCAGGCUGGGCCUUCUCUACAUGGUUGCAGGCUGGGCACCAAUAUUUCCUAUGGGCUUUGGGGCUCUGGCAGUCCAGGCGUCUGUGCCUGCACCACCUUAUCUCCUGUUGAAGGGCUCCCCAUCAGCCUGGAACAGGGCAGGUGCCCAUGUGUGCUGAUUGUGCCAUGGUUAGGUCUGAAGCCAGACCGCCUGGUGUUCAAAUCCCACUUCUGUCACUUUCUAACCUGAUGACCUUGGGCAAAUCAUUUUACCUCCCAAAGCUUCGGUUUCUUCAUCUGUAAAAGGGGGAUUAUAAUAACCCCUAACUCAUAGGAUUGUGUGACGGUUCAGUGAUGUAAUAAUAAUUUAGGUAAAGCAUCCAACAGUGCCUGGAACUGUGAAUCAUGAGAGCUACAAAUAGUGUCAUUAUAACCAUCAUCACCAUUGCACUGUCCAAAGAAACUUCUCCGGUGUUGCGAAGGUAGCAGAGGGUGUGACUGGAUGCGGUAAGGGAGGAGAGAGAAUCUGUUAUCCACAAGUCUGUCCCAUCUGGCACAGUUGGCCAAACUAGAGCCCUAAGUCAGGACCUACCCUGGGUCCCCUGGAAGGUAGGGGCAGCAACAAGGUGCCCAUUUGGCUAUUCCCUGCCUCUGUCCUCUGCCUUUCACACUCCAUUUAUUUUUAGGAAAAGGCACAGGUGAGCGACAGCCACUGGGGAGGCCAGAUGAUAAGCAUAUGGUCUUAUAUAUUUCUCUGCCUCUUGUCUGACUUGGAGCUGUUGUUGAAUACAGCCUAUUCCCAGGGAUUCUGAGCUGGGGCAUCUGCUGGGGGUGCCCACCUUAUGGCCUAUGCUGGGUGCCUCACUGGAACUUGCCUCUGUAGGGUGAUGGACACAGAUAUCAAAGGCGCGAAGGUCUGCUAUGAUGAACACUAACCUGAGGACAGAGGGAAGAAAUUGCAUCCUGAAGCAAUCCAUUCAUUCAUUCAUCAUUCACUAAUUUAAUCAGCCUUCACCACACAAACCUGCGAUGUGCAGGGUUCUGAGCUGGGUCCCAAGGACAUGAGGACAACUUGGCAGGUACUUUCUACCAUCAAGGGCACACGACAUUGCUGAGGACAGAAAUAGUGCAAGGUGGGGAGGUGGCAGGUUACAAGAUAAAGAAGCUAUAGUCAAUUGCCAGUUAGAAAGAGUACUGGGAAAAUAGCAAUAAUAGCUACCAUAGAAACUGUGCAAGUACUAGGUGAAGAGGCCUGUGAAACUAACUUAUUGCAAGGCUUGAAUAAAUAGAGACAUUCGCGGCCAGGUGCAGUGGCUCAUGCCUGUAAUCUCAGCACUUUGAGAGGCUGAGGCGG
rnacentral:sRNA from 1 species